UAUUUCAAACAUAAAACCCUCAUCCACAUGUUUCUCUUUCACUUUACAAACCCUACCAUCUUCUUUCUCUCAUAAAACCAGCCGCCCCACACCCUUCUUCUUCCCAUGGUCUCUCACUUGUUCUCCUUCUAUUCCAAUCGAUAAUGGCUAAGGCUAAUGGAUCAUUGACAACUGAAUGCAGGUGGCACUCUGGCGAGAAGGGCUAGGUCGGCGUAGGCGUGGUUGUGUUGUAGAGGUAGAGGGAUGGGGCUCAGGGACUCGGGAACGACUAUGGCUGGCCACAACGGUUCUAACCUCCAGCCACUUGAGUAGCAGCUCCUCAGUCAACAGGCUUUGUGGAGACGACUUUUGCACCUACAAUCUCUGUGGCGAUAGGCUUCAUUGGGGGCUCCGAGCUUCUGGGCAACAUGUCGGUGUGAGUAGCUUUUCUCAAUUUAGAGUGAUCUACGUGAUGGUAUGACAAACUUUGUAUGUCUCUGGUUCCAUAUUUGGGACUCAUUACAUUUUUGGCUCAUUGAAUUGAAUGCAGUAAAACUAAAUCUAGUACCAAACCAACUGGUUUGUUGCUUUUAACAUAUUAUGGUUACAAAAUGAUAAAAUAUUUUAUUUUGUUUUUAACUUUUUACAAUUAGAGAACAGAUCUCAAUUACAUGUGUAUAUUUUCUAAAAUUGUCUAGCUUUCUACCUUAUAGAAUCCACGAGUUGUCCUUAUUGACAUGUAAUGAAUAUAUAUAUAGUAUCAGUUUUAUAAGGUACUGUUUCUUAAAGAAAUGAUGUUAUUUAGAAUAAAUAUUCUCACAAAAGUAUUAUUAUUAUUUAUAAAAAUUCAAAUUAAUUUCCAGCUUUGUUUCACUUUGGUUAAAGUAAUAGAAAAUUUUGGCAAAUAGUAUUACUAGUAAUCUGUCUAUUAUAAAAUCCUGCUUAGGGUCAUGAGAGAAGUGUUCCUAACAUGUAAUUAAAGUCUCUUGAGUAUUAUGCUUCAAGAAACUUCUUUGUAAAUGCAAAUCUUGUAAUUUUUGAGAUAAUGACUCUUUUGUUUGUUACUGCUACUAUGCAUGCACUCUACCUUUUGGAACUUUGUUCAAAAAUUCAGAUUGUAAUUUGAAUCCUAUAUAAUCUAAUGAUGUCCAAGAGUUGGUCUGGCCCUACGCAUCAUACAAAAGUAACUUAGAGGUUUUGUUGCUCCAAGAACAACAAAUGAUGCCUAACAUUUUUAGUCUUACAUGUAUUUAGAAACCAGAGGGAUAACGGCAAUAUAUGCCACCGCACAGGUGAGGAGAACUUCUGAGAUUAUAUUUAUUGCAGUCUGAUGCUUUUUGUUGAGGGUAAAAGCUUCACAGACGCUUCUCAGAUAUCAUUUGGUUUGUCCUUUUAUGAAUAAUGUAAAAUUAGAACAAUUUUAUUGUAAGAUCCAUCAAUAAGAGUAUCAUAUUGAAAUAUUUAGAUUGUUAUUAGGAUUUAGAGGUGGUUUGAGUUUUUUAUGUAUUUAUUUUUAUUGAUAAUGUUGAAAGAUGUUACAAGUUAGCUUACAAUAUAUGUUAAUGAGAAAUUUAAAUUUCUUUUGAUUU